CGGAAACUCAGCGGCGACUAAAUGGUUGUUCUACAAAAGUUUGCAGUUAUUGUCUGCUCGGCGCCAUAUAGAGAGCUGAACUCGAGUAUUUCCACGGCGUUCUUCAGAGUCAGCUGCCGGGACAGCGCCACCUGCGGCAAAAGGGAACGGCGCGGUUAGUGGACAGAUGUGUUUGAGCCGGUCGGCCAGCAUGUGGUCGGCAGCGGCCAGCAGGCCACAGAGCAGCUC